rnacentral:lncRNA from 1 species
AAGAGUCAAUUUAAUAAAUCAAUUAAACAAGUCCAACAAUUAAAUGGAAGUCCAUAUUUUUAUUUCAAAAAUUCGCAGCCCAAACAAAAGUAAAUAGUAAUCCACCAUUUAAACUAAAAUUUCGGCCCAGAGUUUAAUUAAAAACGGCCCAAGCAAAUAAAAAAAAUGCAGCCCAAAACUAAUUAAUACCCGGCCCAAACACUCGGCCCAAACAAAGCCCAAACCCCCAAAUCUAUUUUCUCUCCUUCUUCUUUCUUAAACA